AGUGGGAUAGUUCAGUGGGUAGAGCUUGUGCUUAGCAUGCAUGAGGGCCUGGGCUCAAUCCCCAGUACCUCCA
rnacentral:tRNA from 1 species